rfam:Puccinia sorghi strain RO10H11247 Scaffold_826, whole genome shotgun sequence.
GCCCGGUUAGCUCAGUCGGUAGAGCAUUCGGCUUUUAUGGGGUUCAUGUCCCGAUGAUACCGAAAUGUCGGGGGUUCGAGCCCCCCAUUGGGCG